UACGUAUGGUGCAAGCGUUAUCCGGAUUUACUGGGUGUAAAGGGAGCGUAGACGGAUGGGCAAGUCUGAUGUGAAAACCCGGGGCUCAACCCCGGGACUGCAUUGGAAACUGUUCAUCUAGAGUGCUGGAGAGGUAAGUGGAAUUCCUAGUGUAGCGGUGAAAUGCGUAGAUAUUAGGAGGAACACCAGUGGCGAAGGCGGCUUACUGGACAGUAACUGACGUUGAGGCUCGAAAGCGUGGGGAGCAAACAGG
rnacentral:rRNA from 2 species